rnacentral:rRNA from 1 species
GACGAACGCUGGCGGCGUGCUUAACACAUGCAAGUCGAACGGAAAGGCCCUGCUUUUGUGGGGUGCUCGAGUGGCGAACGGGUGGGUAAAACGUGAGUAACCUGCCCUUGACUUUGGGAUAACUUCAGGAAACUGGGGCUAAUACCGGAUAGGAGCUCCUGCUGCAUGGGGGGGGUUGGAAAGUUUCGGCGGUGGGGGAUGGACUCGCGGCUUAUCAGCUUGUUGGUGGGGUAGUGGCUUACCAAGGCUUUGACGGGUAGCCGGCCUGAGAGGGUGACCGGCCACAUUGGGACUGAGAUACGGACCAGAAGCCUACGGGAGGCAGCAGUGGGGAAUAUUGCACAAUGGGCGGAAGCCUGAUGCAGCAACGCCGCGUGCGGGAUGACGGGCUUCGGGUUGUAAACCGCUGUCGCCGGUGACGAAGCGUGAGUGACGGUAAUGGGUAAAGAAGCACCGGCUAACUACGUG